rnacentral:lncRNA from 1 species
GGAGGGGGGGUUUUAAGUGUGUUUCACAGUUUGAAUUAAGUGAAAUUUGAGUUCCAUCAAGUCUUAAACUUAAAAACUCUAGUUUUCUCUCAUUUCUCAUUAGCCUUUCUCUCACCCAACUCAUAUCCUCUCUUCCUCUCAAAGUGGUCAGACUACUCUUGCUCUCCUAGGACAACCAUUAUAUUCUCAUUUCUUGCUUUUGGAGACUUCAAGACCAAGGGCUUCUACCUUCCUUCAUGACCUUGAUUUCCUUCCACUCAUUCAAAGCUAAGCUUCUUCUUUUCAUUUUAUUUUGCAUUGGGGCUACAAGAAAAUGUCUUCUCUUCUUCUCCAUCUCAUUUUUGUUUCUUUUCUUACAACGUUAAACGACAUUUAAACAUAAUAAUGGAUAUUGUAUGGAAAAAAAUCAUGAGUGCAAUGGUAUAUAUAUAAUAACAUCUUAGAAAUAUCCAAUUAUUAUUUUUCUCUGUUUUAUAUUUCAUUUGUUUAUCAUUUUAUAUUUCAAUAAAUGGCAAUUUAUACACAGAAAAGGAAUAGAUGUUAAUGCAUAUCAUUAAUAUUAUUCUGAUCAUAUAUACUUUAUUAAUACACCAAUAUAUUACUAAUUACAAUAAGUAUAUUUAAUUGGAAAUUAAACUUUUUUAC